ACUAGGAAACUGAAUUUGAUAAACGAAUUAAUUUGCGUACUACUAAGCUAUUUUUUCAACCCACAAUGGCGGAAGGAGGAGAAGAUAUCGAUUUGGUCGAGGAUAUAAUUAUAACGCCAUUCUCAAGACGAACUUUAAGACCGACGCCGACGCUACAAAGCCCGUCACAGGCGGGGAAGGGGUUCGUUCGCCACUUUCAAAGUUCCAACUACGAGCGCUACCAACGGCUCACAGGCUCCGAGAAGCUCUGCACAGUGUGUGGGCGAGUGAACAGCGGAAUAUGCUACAUGUUUCAGACAUUGACCGGGUGCAAGAGGCUUUUAAAAGAGUUUGAGCGGUACUCCAACCACAAAAGACCCGACUGCAAAAGAAUAGACCUGCAACCCAUUUGUAAACAAACCCACCCGGUGAAUCGAGCCCGUCCGAGCUAGAAGAGAAUUUGGGACAUUUCACACAACAACUCUGCCGGUGUUCUAAUGACAGCGACCAGAACUCGGUUAGGAGCAGCGGACCAAACACACGUCUGUGUCGCCGUCUCCAUUAGCGGCUCGUUGCAGAGUGAGAUGGCAGCUGGGAGGAUCUGGAUCCGUCUCUAACUGAAAGUGCUCGACCGGGAGGACCCUGUUCUCCACCACCAUACACCUAAUGGUUCCAGGAUGGUUCCCAGUUAUGAGGUGCCCUUGUCAUUUCAUAAUUUCCUUUUUGAUAUGUGAUAUCUCGAAUGUUUCAUUGAUCUCUUCAGGCCAACAGUACCUGACAAUACUCUGAGCCGGACCUGUUUGUUGCAAAGUAAAAACACAAAUGUACCUUUGUAGUUAUUUUCAAUAGGGUUCUUUAUUUUGUUAUCGUCGGUGCCUCUUCAGUGUUGGUAAGUUCUCUAUGAUCAUUUUGAAAUAAGCACCCGCAGUGUUAUACAAAUGAUAAUAAUUAAUUAAAUUCCCCCCUUAUGUUACAGGCAUGUUUUGUUCCCUUGCACCUACAUCUGUCUAUAAUGAUGCAUAAAUUACUUUAUGUUCUGGUACGCGAUCAGUAAAGAUAACAAUUGUUUAUGAGUAUAUUUGAAUAAAAUUGGGAACAAUCAUACUGCA